CUUGGAAAACGGGGUCUAAUACCGGAUAGGACUGCAUCUCGCAUGGGGUGUGGUGGAAAAGUGUUUAGUGGUGUGGGAUGGGCCCGCGGCCUAUCAGUUUGAUGGUGGGGUGAUGGCCUACCAUGGCGAUGACGGGUAGCCGGCCUGAGAGGGCGACCGGUCACACUGGGACUGAGAUACGGCCCAGACUCCUACGGGAGGCAGCAGUGGGGAAUAUUGCACAAUGGGCGAAAGCCUGAUGCAGCAACGCCGCGUGAGGGAUGACGGCCUUCGGGUUGUAAACCUCUUUCGACACCGACGAAGCGCAAGUGACGGUAGGUGUAGAAGAAGCACCGGCUAACUACGUGCCAGCAGCCGCGGUAAUACGUAGGGUGCGAGCGUUGUCCGGAAUUAUUGGGCGUAAAGAGCUCGUAGGCGGUUUGUCGCGUCUAUCGUGAAAACUGGAGGCUUAACUUUCAGCGUGCGGUGGAUACGGGCUGACUUGAGUGUGGCAGGGGAGACUGGAAUUCCUGGU
rnacentral:rRNA from 1 species